UCGGGAAUUUUGGGCAAUGGGCGAAAGCCUGACCCAGCAACGCCGCGUGAAGGAUGAAGUAUUUCGGUAUGUAAACUUCGAAAGAAUAGGAAGAAUAAAUGACGGUACUAUUUAUAAGGUCCGGCUAACUACGUGCCAGCAGCCGCGGUAAUACGUAGGGACCAAGCGUUGUUCGGAUUUACUGGGCGUAAAGGGCGCGUAGGCGGCUUGACAAGUCACUUGUGAAAUCUCUGGGCUUAACCCAGAACGGCCAAGUGAAACUGUCAUGCUAGAGUGCAGAAGGGGCAAUCGGAAUUCUUGGUGUAGCGGUGAAAUGCGUAGAUAUCAAGAGGAACACCUGAGGUGAAGACGGGUUGCUGGGCUGACACUGACGCUGAGGCGCGAAAGCCAGGGGGAGCAAACGGGAUUAGAUACCCCGGUAGUCCCUGAGCGGGCUGGCAAGGCGCAU
rnacentral:rRNA from 1 species